CAGCUAGUUGGUGAGGUAACGGCCCACCAAGGCGACGACGGGUAGCCGGCCUGAGAGGGUGACCGGCCACACUGGGACUGAGACACGGCCCAGACUCCUACGGGAGGCAGCAGUGGGGAAUAUUGCACAAUGGGCGCAAGCCUGAUGCAGCAACGCCGCGUGAGGGACGACGGCCUUCGGGUUGUAAACCUCUUUUAGUAGGGAAGAAGCGAAAGUGACGGUACCUGCAGAAAAAGCACCGGCUAACUACGUGCCAGCAGCCGCGGUAAUACGUAGGGUGCAAGCGUUAUCCGGAAUUAUUGGGCGUAAAGAGCUCGUAGGCGGUUUGUCGCGUCUGCUGUGAAACCCGGAGGCUCAACCUCCGGCCUGCAGUGGGUACGGGCAAACUAGAGUGCGGUAGGGGAGAUUGGAAUUCCUGGUGUAGCGGUGGAAUGCGCAGAUAUCAGGAGGAACACCGAUGGCGAAGGCAGAUCUCUGGGCCGUAACUGACGCUGAGGAGCGAAAGCGUGGGGAGCGAACAGGAUUAGAUACCCUGGUAGUCCACGCCGUAAACGUUGGGAACUAGAUGUGGG
rnacentral:rRNA from 1 species